rnacentral:tRNA from 1 species
GCCUGGGUGGCUCAGUCGGUUAAGCAUCUGACUUUGGCUCAGGUCAUGAUCUCACAGUUCGUGGGUUCAAGCCCCGCGUCAGGCU